UUGACCUCGAAUCAGGUAGGGAUACCCGCUGAACUUAAGCAUAUCAAUAAGCGGAGGAAAAGAAACCAACCGGGAUUACCUCAGUAACGGCGAGUGAAGCGGUAACAGCUCAAAUUUGAAAUCUGGCUCCUGCGGAGUCCGAGUUGUAAUUUGUAGAAGAUGCUUUGGGAGGUAGGACCGGCCUAAGUUCCUUGGAACAGGACAUCAGAGAGGGUGAGAAUCCCGUAUGCGGCCGCGGCCUAUGCCCGUGUAAAGCUCUUUCGACGAGUCGAGUUGUUUGGGAAUGCAGCUCAAAAUGGGUGGUAAAUUUCAUCUAAAGCUAAAUAUUGGCCAGAGACCGAUAGCGCACAAGUAGAGUGAUCGAAAGAUGAAAAGCACUUUGGAAAGAGAGUUAAACAGUACGUGAAAUUGUUGAAAGGGAAGCGCUUGCACCCAGACUUGGGCGUCGUCGAUCAUCCGAGGUUCUCCUCGGUGCACUCGGCGAUGCACAGGCCAGCAUCGGUUUGGGUGGUUGGAGAAAGGCUCUAGGAACGUAGCUCUCUUCGGGGAGUGUUAUAGCCUAGGGCGUAAUGCAGCCCAUCCGGACCGAGGACCGCGCCUUUGGGCUAGGAUGCUGGCGUAAUGGUUGCAAGCGACCCGUCUUGAAACACGGACCAAGGAGUCUAACAUCUAUGCGAGUGUUUGGGCGUUAAACCCAUACGCGGAAUGAAAGUGAACGUAGGUGAGAACCCGUUAGGGUGCAUCAUCG
rnacentral:rRNA from 1 species